AUUGAACGCUGGCGGCAGGCCUAACACAUGCAAGUCGAGCGAGCGGCGGACGGGUGAGUAAUGUCUGGGAAACUGCCGGAUGGAGGGGGAUAACUACUGGAAACGGUAGCUAAUACCACAUACCAUCAGAUGUGCCCAGAUGGGACUGGCUAGUAGGUGAGGUAAUGGCUGACCUAGGCGACGAUCCCUAGCUGGUCUGAGAGGAUGACCAGCCCCACUGGAACUGAGACACGGUCCAGGCGCCUCCGGGCGGCGGCAGUGGGGAAUCUUGCACAAUGGUCGCAAGCCGGACGCAGCCAUGCCGCGUGUGUGAAGAAGGCCUUCGGGUUGUACAGCACUUGCAGCGGGGAGGCGUUACCCGCCGAGGAAGCACCGGCUAACUCCGUGCCAGCAGCCGCGGUAAUAC
rnacentral:rRNA from 1 species